rnacentral:rRNA from 1 species
CGUCAGCUCGUGUCGUGAGAUGUUGGGUUAAGUCCCGCAACGAGCGCAACCCUCGCCAUUAGUUGCCAUCAUUUAGUUGGGCACUCUAGUGGGACUGCCGGUGAUAAGCCGGAGGAAGGUGGGGAUGACGGUCAAGGUCAUCAUGGCCCUUACGGUUUGGGCUACACACGUGCUACAAUGGCGGUGACACGUGGGCAGCCACUCAGUAAUGAGGAGCUAAUCCCAAAAAGCCGUCUCAGUUCGGAUUGAGCUCUGCAACUCGAGCUCAUGAAGUCGGAAUCGCUAGUAAUCGCGGAUCAGCACGCCGCGGUGAAUACGUUCCCGGGCCUU